rnacentral:misc_RNA from 1 species
GAUGAAGAACGUAGCGAAAUGCGAUAAGUAAUGUGAAUUGCAGAAUUCAGUGAAUCAUCGAAUCUUUGAACGCACAUUGCGCCCGCCAGCAUUCUGGCGGGCAUGCCUGUUCGAGCGUCAUUUCAACCCUCGAGCCCCCCCGGGGGCCUCGGUGUUGGGGGACGGCACACCAGCCGCCCCCGAAAUGCAGUGGCGACCCCGCCGCAGCCUCCCCUGCGUAGUAGCACACACCUCGCACCGGAGCGCGGAGGCGGUCACGCCGUAAAACGCCCAACUUUCUUAGAGUUGACCUCGGAUCAGGUAGGAAUACCCGCUGAACUUAAGCAUAUCAAUAAGCAGAGGA